rnacentral:precursor_RNA from 15 species
CUGAAGCAACACCAAAGUUCAAGACUAUACCCUCAGAUGUGUCUACUAGUCUGGGCUCAAUCACAGAUUAGGGGCAACAUCUGGGCUAGAGCCUGAGCUAAUUCUUCAGUGAAGACAU